AUUGAACGCUGGCGGCAUGCCUUACACAUGCAAGUCGAACGGCAGCACGGAUGCUUGCACCUGGUGGCGAGUGGCGAACGGGUGAGUAAUACAUCGGAACGUACCUUAUCGUGGGGGAUAACGCAGCGAAAGCUGUGCUAAUACCGCAUACGCCCUGAGGGGGAAAGCGGGGGAUCGCAAGACCCCGCGCGAUUAGAGCGGCCGAUGCCUGAUUAGCUUGUUGGUGGGGUAAAAGCCCACCAAGGCGACGAUCAGUAGCUGGUCUGAGAGGACGAUCAGCCACACUGGGACUGAGACACGGCCCAGACUCCUACGGGAGGCAGCAGUGGGGAAUUUUGGACAAUGGGGGCAACCCUGAUCCAGCAAUGCCGCGUGAGUGAAGAAGGCCUUCGGGUUGUAAAGCUCUUUUGUCAGGGAAGAAACACCGGCUCUAACACAGUCUGGGAAUGACGGUACCUGAAGAAUAAGCACCGGCUAACUACGUGCCAGCAGCCGCGGUAA
rnacentral:rRNA from 1 species